GUAAAGCCCAAGGUCCAAUCCCGUGAAAGCCGGGAUCGUCCCCGAAAGGGGGCGCGACGCUCACAGCUUUAGCU
ncrna:unclassified sequences Twister-sister ribozyme sequence